rnacentral:lncRNA from 1 species
GAGCAUUCCAGCCUAGCCCAAGCCCCAUGGAACAGAAUUUCAUUAAUUACCCAGUUUUUCCUAAGUUAUCCAAAGGCCCAAAUUCCCCAUAUUUUUUUCCCUUCCUUUCUUCUUAUUAUAGAAGAGGUUUAUAAAAGCCUCCUCUCAUUCCCUCGGUUUCAAGGCGUUGGUCUCCUAUUGGACCUCUCGCCAUCUGCACUACAAACACAAAACCGGUUCCAAAACUAGUUCAGCUAGCACAGGCUGCUCCCGAGGAACUCUGGGAGUGGUAGUUUCGGACGGGCGGCAGGGACCCUUGCCUUAUAGGGGCAGAGCCUUCGCUCUGAACUACAACCUCCAUGUGUCACUGCAAGGGAAGCCACGACAGCUAAAACGGGUUUCUCUCUGUGCCUGUGUGGCUCUUUACGUUCCGUGGUGUGUGUGUUUGUGUGUCGUGCCUGUGUGGCUCUUUACGUUCCGUGGUUUGUGUGUGCGCGUAUAUAUACUGUAUGUGUGUUUGUGGACGUGCUCUCAAGUCUCCGUUCCUCGGAGGCAACGACAACGGACUCCCAGUUGUUUUGGUCGUCGGGAAGCGAACGGAACUUCCGUCUAAGCGGCGUACGUGUAGGAUCGCGGAUCGGAAGGAGUGCUUUUGAACCGCUUUCGUCGUUCGCAGAACCCACGGGAGGAAAGUUCCUAGGAUAAGACCCUGAACGGAGAAACCAGCCCUUUGUGGUGUUCUGGAUGGUACCGAUUCUGAGAAAGUAGUGGUGGACUUCAGCAGGGAGGCUUUCUGGGCCUGAAUUCUGCCUUGCAAGGGUCAUCAUGCAAAACAACUAUGCAACUGUGGCCUUGCUAGGGUUGCCUGCUGAUGAACCAGAACUUAUUUGCAAAGUGGAGCCAGAGGAAGAGCCAUGGAUCCCAAAGGAGCAGGCUGCUAGGGAGAGGCGGAUCCUGCCUGCAAGCAAGUCAGGUGCCGAAACUCCAGAAGUUGCCGUCCCCUCCUACAGACAGUAUCGUGGCACCACGUGGACCUACCCAGAGGUCAUUGACCUUCUGGUCAUCUGGCGAGAGCGAGAGAUCCAACAGGAACUCCAGCGGAGCCAUCGGAACAUUGAAACCUUUCAGGUAGUGGCCGGCAAAAUGGCCAAGAGAGGCCACAGGCGUACGGCCCUGGAGUGCCGGUCGAAAAUCAAAACGUUGAAGAGAGACUACCGCAUCGCUAAAGCCAACAACUCACCCGGGAAGGGUCACCUGGCUUGGCUUUUCUAUGACAGGUUGGACCACUUGUUGGAGAAUGACAGGGACCUCUCACCUCUGGAGAAGCUCCCUGGUUUAAAUCACCGCCAGGUAGCCAUCAUAGACUCUAUAUCGCAGUGUUCCACGGAGGAGGAAGCCACAACAGACGGGGUGAAGGAAGGUGGCCCGGACGGUCAAGAAGUGCUGGAGCUCAGAAGGUCCUCCCCAGCCAAGAUCGGGAAAGACAGCAUUCCUCUGCCGUGCAUCAAGCAAGAAGCCCCGGACGAAAUGCCAGUCACAGUGCCCCAGGAUGGUGCUGUUACCUCACCCCAAAGCCCCAUUCCUGGUCCUGCAAGGUCUUACGCAGCUGAACGACUGGCCAACAUCAGAAAGAGGAAACGGAAAAACAGGCAAGAUAUGGCCCUAGAGAUCACACAGGCAGCCGAUAGACGGGUCCAAAUGGCCACGGACAGGAUCCUGGCAGCACUUGGGGAAUACGCCAAGGCAGAUCUGCAGGACCGUGAGCGGGACCGAGUGGACACUGAACAGAUUAUUGCCCUCAUGAACCGCCAGACAGAACUUUUGGAGUCGCUGGUGCGAAAGCAGACUGAGACCCAGGCCCGCGUGUCGCCCACCUUGACCUGGCCUUCCCGGAUUCCUCGGCCUGGGCAGCCAAAUCAUCCUUCCGAAUCGUCUCCCUUGCACUUGGGCGUAACCCGGCGUCCCCUUGCAAGGGCAAGAUACAGGAGGUGAUUCCCAUCGUUGCUUGUGCUGCCUUUUAAAAAGGCCUCCUUGGUAGCUUCUUAUCCUACAGGACACAGAGGGUGGGGAGUAUACCUUUGCAAACGGGUUGUGGCUUUUUCAAGACUUUUUUCAAUCUUUUUACAGUGAAUGAUUUUAUUUGCCAAUUGUAAAAAAAGAA